rnacentral:rRNA from 1 species
UACGUAGGGUCCGAGCGUUGUCCGGAUUCAUUGGGCGUAAAGAGCUCGUAGGCGGCUCAGUAAGUCGGAUGUGAAAACUCAGGGCUCAACCCGGAGACGCCAUCCGAUACUGCUGUGGCUUGAGUCUGGUAGGGGAACACGGAAUACCUGGUGUAGCGGUGAAAUGCGCAGAUAUCAGGAAGAACACCAAUGGCGAAAGCAGCUCUCUGGGACGGUACUGACGCUGAGACGCGAAAGCGUGGGGAGCGAACAGG